UACGUAGGGUGCAAGCGUUAAUCGGAAUUACUGGGCGUAAAGCGUGCGCAGGCGGUUGUGCAAGACAGAUGUGAAAUCCCCGGGCUCAACCUGGGAAUGGCAAUGGAUACUGGCAAGCUAGAGUGUGUCAGAGGAUGGUGGAAUUCCUGGUGUAGCGGUGGAAUGCGCAGAUAUCAGGAGGAACAGCCGGUGGCGAAGGCGGUUCUCUGGGCAUUACCUGACGCUGGAGGAGCGAAAGCAUCGGGGAGCGAACAGG
rnacentral:rRNA from 1 species